rnacentral:tRNA from 1 species
GUCUUCGUGGUAUAGUGGUCAGCACGCUCGACGCAUAACCGAGAGGUCCGUGGUUCGAUUCCCGGAGAAGGCG